rnacentral:rRNA from 1 species
UACGAAGGGGGCUAGCGUUGUUCGGAUUUACUGGGGCGUAAAGCGCACGUAGGCGGAUUGUUAAGUCAGGGGUGAAAUCCUGGAGCUCAACUCCAGAACUGCCUUUGAUACUGGCAAUCUUGAGUCCGGAAGAGGUGAGUGGAACUCCUAGUGUAGAGGUGGAAUUCGUAGAUAUUAGGAAGAACACCAGUGGCGAAGGCGGCUCACUGGUCCGGUACUGACGCUGAGGUGCGAAAGCGUGGGGAGCGAACAGG